rnacentral:lncRNA from 1 species
AACAUGAAUUUAUUAUUUAUUUAUUAAACUGAGUAUUUACAAUAUCUUGAUAUUCUUAGCAAAAUCUCAGGUGAAAGACAGCUAUUAUGGCCAUUUUAUAAGCAUGCUAUAUGAUACAUGUAUCCAUUUGUAUCCUUUAUAAGUAUUUAUUAAGUGUUCACUACAAGCCAAGUUGUUUAGCUAGUAUUGUCUGGUGGCCAAUGAGAAUUAGAAAGACAGGAGACAGGAGGAGGAGUCGAGGGGCUAUGUCCUAAAGCUGGCCUGGGAGUGGAAGACGGUCACUGCUUCACGUGAGUCUGAGAGGGAAAUAUGGGUGGGGACAUGAAGUUAUUGGUGAGGAAGUGGAAAAUUUUCAGAGCUCUUACUUGAUGGCUUCUAUUUCCUCUGAAGCAGGAGGCGAGGUCAUGUGCUGAAAAAGAGAAGGGCAGGAGGAGGCGAGGGAGCUCGGAAGCUGCAGUGCUUUCACGUUCUCCGGGCCCGGGGCACACGCUCUUCAGCCUGGGAGCGUCCCCUUCCUCUCUAGGCGGAAGUUCUGCAGGGCGGUGCGAGGUUGUUCCUUCUGUGCCCGUUGAGGAUCUCCACUUCGCACUUCUCCAAAAUAUACACACUCACCUUGUCUGUCCCAGGCCCUCUGCUCUUCUCUACACCCUGGCCUGGGCAACCUCAUCUACUUGAUUAGCUCCUGCUACCUUCUCUAGAGUAGUCAUCCUCCAACAGCCCCUAAAAGCUGGUACCUAAUAACUUAGAAAUAGGUUCAAUAUAAAAGUUUUCACUAGGGGCCGGCUCCGCGGCCGAGUGGUUAAGUUCGCGCUCUCCACUGUGGCGGCCCAGGGUUCAGAUCCUGGGCGCGGACAUGGCACCGCUCGUCAGGCUAUGUUGAGGAAGCGUCCCACAUCCCACAACUAGAAGGACCUGCAACUAAGAUAUACAACUGUGUACAAGGGGGAUUUGGGAAGAUAAAGCAGAAGAAAAAAAAAAAAAUGAUUGGCAUCAGUUGUUAGCCCUGCCAAUCUUUAAAAAAAAAGAAAAAAGUUUUCACUAGCCUUCAUUUUUGAAGAACAGAUAACUCUCAGAAAUGGUUAUCCAGGAACAAGUGCAUAGACCAAUGUGUCAUCCUUCGAUUACCUUC